AUCCGGUGCACUGAGUGUGGAAGCCAGUCCAUUGAAGAUUCACAAGCAGAUGUUGCAGUUCUCCUUAGAAGGCUAAUUCGCGAUGAAAUAAAAUCUGGCAAGAGUGAUAAGGAGAUAUACAAAAAAUUAGAAGACGACUUUGGCGAAACGGUUCUAUAUGCCCCUUUUGAUAUUCAAACUGCCGCUAUAUGGUUAUCGUCGGUUAUUGUGGGUGGGGUUGCAGCUGGUAUCUGGGCUUACCAAAAGCAUAGGCAAAGGACUAACGUUCACAUUAUGGCUCUGAACCUUGUCCGAGGGGUUCCCCUGACUCCAAGGGAGAAGGAGACGAUGUUGACAUCCUUACGCCGCCUCCACUAACUAGGAGAUGGUGGUGGCCUAUCAAGUGAUGUUCAUGUCCUCAGAUGCAACAUAUAG
rnacentral:rRNA from 1 species